GACGAACGCUGGCGGCGUGCCUAAUACAUGCAAGUUGAGCGAUGAAGAUUGGUGCUUGCACCAAUUUGAAGAGCAGCGAACGGGUGAGUAACGCGUGGGGAAUCUGCCUUUGAGCGGGGGACAACAUUUGGAAACGAAUGCUAAUACCGCAUAAAAACUUUAAAAAUAAGUUUUAAGUUUGAAAGAUGAAAUUGCAUCACUCAAAGAUGAUCCCGCGUUGUAUUAGCUAGUUGGUGAGGUAAAGGCUCACCAAGGCGAUGAUACAUAGCCGACCUGAGAGGGUGAUCGGCCACAUUGGGACUGAGACACGGCCCAAACUCCUACGGGAGGCAGCAGUAGGGAAUCUUCGGCAAUGGACGAAAGUCUGACCGAGCAACGCCGCGUGAGUGAAGAAGGUUUUCGGAUCGUAAAACUCUGUUGGUAGAGAAGAACGUUGGUGAGAGUGGAAAGCUCAUCAAGUGACGGUAACUACCCAGAAAGGGACGGCUAACUACGUG
rnacentral:rRNA from 1 species